rnacentral:rRNA from 1 species
UACAGAGGUCUCAAGCGUUGUUCGGAUUCAUUGGGCGUAAAGGGCGCGUAGGCGGCGAGGUAAGUCGGGUGUGAAAUCUCAGAGCUCAACUCUGAAACUGCACUCGAUACUGCUUGCUAGAGGACUGGAGAGGAGAUUGGAAUUCACGGUGUAGCAGUGAAAUGCGUAGAGAUCGUGAGGAAGACCAGUGGCGAAGGCGGAUCUCUGGACAGUUCCGUGACGCUGAGGCGCGAAGGCCAGGGGAGCAAACGGG